GUGCCGGCCCACUGAAGCGGUGGGGACGCGCCCAGCGGAGCGAAUCAGAUUAGCUGGCUGGUGUUUGGUUGUUCUGGAGUGAUCUUCUGACUGGAAAAGAACUAUGUCAUGGAUCAAGGAAGGAGAACUGUCACUUUGGGAGCGGUUCUGUGCCAACAUCAUAAAGGCAGGCCCAAUGCCAAAACACAUUGCAUUCAUAAUGGAUGGGAACCGUCGCUAUGCCAAGAAGUGCCAGGUGGAGCGGCAGGAAGGCCACUCACAGGGCUUCAACAAGCUAGCUGAGCUCCUUGCCUUCUCCCCUCUCAGACUCUGCGGUGGUGUUUGAACCUGGGCAUCCUAGAGGUGACGGUCUACGCAUUCAGCAUUGAGAACUUCAAACGCUCCAAGAGUGAGGUAGACGGGCUUAUGGAUCUGGCCCGGCAGAAGUUCAGCCGCUUGAUGGAAGAACAGUAAGAUGCUAUCAGAGGGGAGAGCGUGUUCUUCCACCACCCCCAGCCUUAUCCUAACCCUUGAAAUUCUGUUAUCUGAGGCUUACUUAAGGGACUUCCAACUCUUUUUAAUGUUAGUUAGAGAUCUUGGGUGGCAAAUAUCAGAAAUACAAGAUAGUCUUUCAUUCUUUAUUUCUAACUUUUUUUUUAAAUAAAAAAGGGGGCAUUUAUUU
rnacentral:sRNA from 1 species